rnacentral:rRNA from 1 species
GACGAACGCUGGCGGCGUGCUUAACACAUGCAAGUCGAACGGAAAGGCCCUGCUUUUGUGGGGUGCUCGAGUGGCGAACGGGUGAGUAACACGUGAGUAACCUGCCCUUGACUUUGGGAUAACUUCAGGAAACUGGGGCUAAUACCGGAUAGGAGCUCCUGCUGCAUGGUGGGGGUUGGAAAGUUUCGGCGGUUGGGGAUGGACUCGCGGCUUAUCAGCUUGUUGGUGGGGUAGUGGCAUACCAAGGCUUUGACGGGUAGCCGGCCUGCGAGGGUGACCGGCCACAUUGGGACUGAGAUACGGCCCAGACUCCUACGGGAGGCAGCAGUGGGGAAUAUUGCACAAUGGGCGGAAGCCUGAUGCAGCAACGCCGCGUGCGGGAUGACGGCCUUCGGGUUGUAAACCGCUUUCGCCUGUGACGAAGCGUUAGUGACGGUAAUGGGUAAAGAAGCACCGGCUAACUACGUG